rnacentral:rRNA from 1 species
UGCAAGUCGAACGGAAAGGCCUUUUCGGAGGUACUCGAGUGGCGAACGGGUGAGUAACACGUGGGUGAUCUGCCCUGCACUCUGGGAUAAGCCUGGGAAACUGGGUCUAAUACCGGAUAGGACCGCACUUUAGUGUGUGUGGUGGAAAGUUUUUUCGGUGUAGGAUGAGCCCGCGGCCUAUCAGCUUGUUGGUGGGGUAAUGGCCUACCAAGGCGGCGACGGGUAGCCGGACUGAGAGGUUGGUCGGCCACAUUGGGACUGAGAUACGGCCCAGACUCCUACGGGAGGCAGCAGUGGGGAAUAUUGCACAAUGGGCGCAAGCCUGAUGCAGCGACGCCGCGUGGGGGAUGACGGCCUUCGGGUUGUAAACUCCUUUCGCCAGGGACGAAGCGUUUUGUGACGGUACCUGGAGAAGAAGCACCGGCUAACUACGUGCCAGCAGCCGCGGUAAUACGUAGGGUGCAAGCGUUGUCCGGAAUUACUGGGCGUAAAGAGCUCGUAGGUGGUUUGUCACGUCGUCUGUGAAAUUCCACAGCUUAACUGUGGGCGUGCAGGCGAUACGGGCUGACUUGAGUACUGUAGGGGUAACUGGAAUUCCUGGUGUAGCGGUGAAAUGCGCAGAUAUCAGGAGGAACACCGAUGGCGAAGGCAGGUUACUGGGCAGUUACUGACGCUGAGGAGCGAAAGCAUGGGUAG